rnacentral:rRNA from 1 species
UGGGGAAUUUUGGACAAUGGGCGCAAGCCUGAUCCAGCAAUGCCGCGUGCAGGAUGAAGGCCUUCGGGUUGUAAACUGCUUUUGUACGGAACGAAAAAGCCCUCUCUAAUACAGGGGGUGAAUGACGGUACCGUAAGAAUAAGCACCGGCUCACUACGUGCCAGCAGCCGCGGUAAUACGUAGGGUGCAAGCGUUAAUCGGAAUUACUGGGCGUAAAGCGUGCGCAGGCGGUUUUGUAAGACAGAGGUGAAAUCCCCGGGCUCAACCUGGGAACUGCCUUUGUGACUGCAAAGCUGGAGUGCGGCAGAGGGGGAUGGAAUCCCGCGUGUAGCAGUGAAAUGCGUAGAUAUGCGGAGGAACACCGAUGGCGAAGGCAAUCCCCUGGGCCUGCACUGACGCUCAUGCACGAAAGCGUGGGGAGCAAACA